AUUGAACGCUGGCGGCGUGCCUAACACAUGCAAGUCGAGCGGUAACAGGUGUAGCAAUACAUGCUGACGAGCGGCGAACGGGUGAGUAAUGCUUUGGAAUCUUCCCAGUAGUGGGGAAUAACCAGUCGAAAGAUUGGCUAAUACCGCAUACGUCUGUAAAGGGAAAGCGGGGGGCUCGUAAGACCUCGCGCUAUUGGAUGAGCCAAAGCCGGAUUAGCUAGUUGGGGGGUAAUGGCCUACCAAGGCGACAAUCCGUAGCUGGUCUGAGAGGACGACCAGCCACACCGGAACUGAGACACGGUCCGGACUCCUACGGGAGGCAGCAGUGGGGAAUNUUGGACAAUGGGGGAAACCCUGAUCCAGCGACGCCGCGUGUGUGAAGAAGGCCUGCGGGUUGUAAAGCACUUUUAGUGGGGAACAAAAAGCUACGGGAUUAAUACUCUGUGGUCUUGAUUUAACCCAAANAAAAGCACCGGCUAACUCUGUGCCAGCCGCCGCGGUAAC
rnacentral:rRNA from 1 species